UUUACUUUUCCCAAGGCACUUUUGAAUACGAUAGCAGUGAACAUCUUUCAGUGAUAAGAUACAGUGUAUUUUUUUCAUAAUUCCGUAACAUCCAUUUCUGUGGCCCGAUUUUGUUGAUUGACGACGACGGCAGAGACGACGACCAAGGAGAGAGAAUAUUUUCGUUGAGCUUAAUUGAAGGUGCUCAAAUUGUUUGAUCGUACGCCUCCCGGAGGACGUGCAACACCGUCAAUGUGUAUGUAUGCUAAAGCAAUCAAUGCGCAAACUGCUGUAAAACAAUAUAUUUUGUGGGAUUUUUUUUUGUAAAGUGUUGUGAACUCAAACGUUAAAGUGACCAAAACAUUUCCAUUUUCAAUUUUGAAUGUGAUUUUGAUAACAACAAAGAAAGAAAAAAAAACGAAAAACUUCUAACAAGAUUCAACAAACUUUGCGUCUGGUGAUAUGAUUGAGAGAAUUUAUAACGAUUUUUUCGUUGCGACGGAAGCAUCAAUCCAAGUUCACAACUACUGCACCGCUCAAUAUCGAUAAAUUGAAACGUACAUGACACGUAGCAUCAGCAGCUGCAGCAACACUCACAACGCCAACAAAAAUAACAAUAAAAACAACAGCAACGGCAGCAACAGCAAAGACAACAACACCAUCACAUUUUAACAACGACGUAAUUCGAGAGCAGUGCCCGAAGUCAUUUUCCAUUUAUAUUUAUCUCGAUCUUCCGCAAUCAAAAAGUCAUAUAUGUGAAUGGGAAAUAUUUUUGAAUGACUUCCAUCCCGUCGACCUGAUUUAAAUCGCAUGCAAACGAAAUUCAAUCACUUCAAACGGCAUCCAAAGAAAAUUACGCGCAACAAAAAAAACACACACAAAAAAGAAAAUCAGAAAAAGAAGAAGAACCAGAAAACGAAGGUAAACGAAAACAACCCAAAUGGGAUAAAAAAGGAAAAAGCUACUUGAAAUCUGGCCACAAGCUGUUUUGGGAACGCAAUUUUAAAGCAUAAACACGCAGCACUUCACCAUUUAUGACUGCAUACACAAGGGCUGUUAUAAAACCAAAUCACAAGGAGAAAAGACGAGAAUACAUCAACGACAACAACCGAAAAUAAAGAAUGAAAUAGGAAAGUAUUAACGGAUCACGAGGCAUACAUAUAAGUAGUUCCAGUUCAAACGCCGGAUAAAAGUAAUUUCAAGCUGAACAAAAGGAACGGAAAAGAACCUGACCCAAAUAAAGAGCAACUAAAAGGAAAAAAAAGGGAAAAAGCUGACACGGAAAAUUGUUUGACGAAGGGAAAAUCGAGUCUCGUCAUACUUUUUUAUUUACUCUUUUAAAGAGUGAAUCGCAGAAAUAACAACAACAACAAAAUUUGAAAUCAAAGCAAAGAAGGGAAUUGGUAUUGUUCAAAAAAUGGCUAUUAUUUCUAUCACAGUCUAUGCCACCAACGGCAGUGAAGCGGAAAAUCGAAGUGAUGCCAUCAAUGAGCAAUCAUGGAACAGAUCGCUUACCAAGGCUCUACAUCACAAUCGGUGUCACCGAUCGGAAUUCGAAGAUAUUUAUAACCCAUUCCAAAGGUUCGUGAGAAGUAGCUCUUAAAAAAGCAUUGACGUAAAUUUUGAC